rnacentral:rRNA from 1 species
AGAGUUUGAUCAUGGCUCAGAACGAACGCUGGCGGCAUGCCUAACACAUGCAAGUCGAACGAACCCUUCGGGGUUAGUGGCGCACGGGUGCGUAACGCGUGGGAAUCUGCCCUUUGCUUCGGAAUAACUCAGGGAAACUUGAGCUAAUACCGGAUAACGUCGCAAGACCAAAGAUUUAUCGGCAAAGGAUGAGCCCGCGUAGGAUUAGCUUGUUGGUGGGGUAAAGGCCUACCAAGACGACAAUCCUUAGCUGGUCUGAGAGGAUGAUCAGCCACACUGGGACUGAGACACGGCCCAGACUCCUACGGGAGGCAGCAGUGGGGAAUAUUGGACAAUGGGCGAAAGCCUGAUCCAGCAAUGCCGCGUGAGUGAUGAAGGCCUUAGGGUUGUAAAGCUCUUUUACCCGGGAUGAUAAUGACAGUACCGGGAGAAUAAGCUCCGGCUAACUCCGUGCCAGCAGCCGCGGUAAUACGGAGGGAGCUAGCGUUGUUCGGAAUUACUGGGCGUAAAGCGCACGUAGGCGGCUAUUCAAGUCAGAGGUGAAAGCCCGGGGCUCAACCCCGGAACUGCCUUUGAAACUAGGUAGCUAGAAUCUUGGAGAGGUUAGUGGAAUUCCGAGUGUAGAGGUGAAAUUCGUAGAUAUUCGCAAGAACACCAGUGGCGAAGGCGGCUCACUGGCCCGAUACUGACGCUGAGGUGCGAAAGCGUGGGGGAGCAAACAGGAUUAGAUACCCUGGGUAGUCCACGCUGUAAACGAUGGAUGCUAGCCGUUGGCCGGGUUUACCGGUCAGUGGCGCAGCUAACGCUUUAAGCAUCCCGCCU